ensembl:lncRNA
AAGGAGGAAUUUGUGGGACAUGCCAGGCAGUUUUCAGUCAUUAGCAAACAAUUUCUCUUCUUCUACCCCUGUCUCCUACAGAAGAUUGAAAACUAGGUUGAGCAAGGUACAAGGUAUGGAUAUAUGGUCCGUAUAUCAGUGGUUGUAUUUCACACAUGGCACGGCUAGUCCUCUGGGCAUUUACUGGAGAAACCUCUACCCCCUUUCAUAGGUUCCUCAUCAUUUUCAGGUGUUGAAGUAUGGGCCCUGUAAGCCCAAUGUUUUAAGAAGUAACAAUUUCCACCUUUCUGUCUUACACCACACAAAUGUGUAACAGUGCCCUUCUCUAUUUUUAAGUGGAUAUUCUUGUAGCUCUUACACCACCAACUGCCCGUUUCCAUCACCAGGUUGCUGACUUGUUCUCAUGGGCACAGCUUGGCUUGUGUGGCUGCUUCAGCUGAAGACUCUCCAGGGAUUUUUUGACCUCAGCAUGGAAGAAAAGGCUGGACUACACAGCGAGCUUUGGGUAGCUGGCUGGAGGACCCAUUUUCACACACAGAGGUAUGACAGCUCUCUAAGUGCAGCAGCUCAUAGACUUGUAUUCUGUUUCUUCUAUUUUUUCUUGCUUCAUGCUGUAAGGCAAAACACUUACACAUCUGUACAGCAGUAAGAAAGCACAGUAAAGUGCUUCCUGACAUUCAGACAGAACUUCUUGUGUUCCAGUUUGUGUCCAUUGCCUCUUGUACUGGCACUGAGAACAACUGAAGAGAUCCUGGCUCUGUCCUCAUUGCACCCUCCCUUCAGGAAUUUAUUUACAUUGAUAAGAUCCUCCCUGAAUCUACUCUUCUCCAGGCUAAAGAGUCCCAGCUACUUCAACCUUUCUUCAUAGAAAAGGUGCUCCAGUCCUUUAAUCAUCUUAGUGGCCCUACAUUGGACUAUCUACAGUAGCCCCGUGUCUCUUGGGUACUGGGGAGCCCUAAGCUGGAGGUAGUACUCCAGAUGUAGCCUCACCAGUACUGAGUAGUGGGGAAGGAUCACCUUCCUUGAUUUGCUGGCAAUACUUUGGCUAAUACAGUCCAGGAUACCAUUAGCCUUCUUUGCAGUGAGAGCACAUUGCUGGCUUACAUUCAACUUGAUGUCAACUUUAACAUCUUUUUCGGUGACAUAGACAGUGGGAUUGAGUGCACCGUCAGCAAGUCUGCAGAUGACACUAAGGUGAGUACUGUGACAGUGAGUACAUGACAGAGGGAAAGGAUGCCCUUCCUUGACAGGCUUGAGAGAUGGGCCCAGGCAAACUGCAUUAAGUUCAACAUGGCCAAGUGCAAGGCCCUGCAUAUGGACUGGAGCAAUCCCAAGGACUAACACAGACUGGGCAGAGAAUGGAUUGAGAGUGGCCCUGAGUAAAAAAGACUCUGGGGGUUUGGUUGAAGAGAAAAUCAAUGUGAGCUGGCAAUAUGUACUUGCAGGCCAGAAAGCCAACCGUAUCCUGGGCUGCAUCAAAAGAAAUGUGGCCAGAAUCACAGCAUCAUCUAGGUUGGAAGAGACCUCCAAGAUCACCUAGUCCAACCUCUGACCUAACACUAACAAGUCCUACACUAAACCAUAUCACUAAACUCUACAUCUAAAUGUCUUUUAAGACCUCCAGGGAUGGUGACUCAACCACUUCCCUG